AUUGAACGCUGGCGGCAGGCCUAACACAUGCAAGUCGAACGAGUGGUGGAAGGGUGUGUAAUGUCUGGGAAACUGCCUGAUGGAGGGGGAUAACUACUGGACACGGUAGCUAAUACCGCAUACCAUCGGAUGUGCCGAGAUGGGAUUAGCUAGUAGGGGGGGUAACGGCUCACCUAGGCGACGAUCCCUACCUGGUCUGAGAGGAUGACCAGCCAAACUGGAACUGAGACACGGUCCGGAAUCCUACGGGAGGCAGCAGUGGGGAAUAUUGGACAAUGGGCGAAAGCCUGAUACAGCCAUGCCGCGUGUAUGAAGAAGGCCUUCGGGUUGUAAAGAUCUUUCGGUAGCGAGGCGUUAACUACAGAAGAAGCACCGGCUAACUCCGUGCCAGCAGCCGCGGUAAUAC
rnacentral:rRNA from 1 species